UCGAACGCGAAAGGGAGCAAUCCUGAGUAGAGUGGCGUCCGGGUGAGUAACACGUGAAUAAUCUACCUGCGGGUGGGGAAUAACUUUCCGAAAGGAAGGCUAAUACCGCAUAAAAUCUAGCUGGGGUAGCCUAGUUAGAUCAAAGAGGGGGAUCGCAAGACCUCUCGCCUGUAGAGGAGUUCGCGGCUGAUUAGCUAGUUGGCGGGGUAAAGGCCCACCAAGGCGACGAUCAGUAGCCGGCCUGAGAGGGCGGUCGGCCACACUGGCACUGAAAUACGGGCCAGACUCCUACGGGAGGCAGCAGUGGGGAAUUUUGGGCAAUGGCCGAAAGGCUGACCCAGCAACGCCGCGUGAAGGAUGAAAUUUUUCGGAAUGUAAACUUCGUAAAUUAGGAAAGAAUAAGUUUGUACUAAUACUGCAAGCGAUGACGGUACCUAAUGUAAGCCCCGGCUAACUCCGUGCCAGCAGCCGCGGUAAUACGGGGGGGGCAAGCGUUGUUCGGAAUUAUUGGGCGUAAAGGGCGCGUAGGCGGUCAGACUAAGUCGAAUGUAAAAUACCAAGGCUUAACCUAGGCAGGUCGUUCGAUACUAGUCGACUAGAGUGUGGAAGGGGUUGCCGGAAUUCCUGGUGUAGCGGUGAAAUGCGUAGAUAUCAGGAGGAACACCGGAGGCGAAGGCGGGCAACUGGGCCAACACUGACGCUGAGGCGCGAAAGCUAGGGGAGCAAACAGGAUUAGAUACCCUGGUAGUCCUAGCCUUAAACGAUGAUGACUUGGUGUGUCGGGUUUUAAGUCCCGGCGUGCCGGAGCUAACGCGAUAAGUCAUCCGCCUGGGGAGUACGGUCGCAAGACUGAAACUCAAAG
rnacentral:rRNA from 1 species